rfam:Oscillibacter sp. 1-3 genomic scaffold acPPL-supercont1.4, whole genome shotgun sequence.
AGAGACUUAGCUCUGUACAAUCCGAACCGAUGAAACAUUGUGCAGAGU